rnacentral:rRNA from 1 species
UACGUAGGGUGCGAGCGUUGUCCGGAAUUAUUGGGCGUAAAGGGCUCGUAGGCGGUUUGUCGCGUCUGCUGUGAAAACCCGAGGCUCAACCUCGGGCCUGCAGUGGGUACGGGCAGACUAGAGUGCGGUAGGGGAGAUUGGAAUUCCUGGUGUAGCGGUGGAAUGCGCAGAUAUCAGGAGGAACACCGAUGGCGAAGGCAGAUCUCUGGGCCGUAACUGACGCUGAGGAGCGAAAGCGUGGGGAGCAAACAGG